rnacentral:rRNA from 1 species
UACGUAGGUGGCGAGCGUUGUCCGGAUUUACUGGGCGUAAAGAGCGCGCAGGCGGCUGGUCAAGUCCGAUGUGAAAGCUCCCGGCUUAACUGGGAAAUUGCAUCGGAAACUGAUCGGCUGGAAGGUGGGAGAGGGUAGCGGAAUUCCCGGUGUAGUGGUGAAAUGUGUAGAGAUCGGGAGGAACACCGGUGGCGAAGGCGGGUCUCUGGGCAUCUCCUGACGCUGAGGCGCGAAAGCGUGGGGAGCAAACGGG